GACGAACGCUGGCGGCGUGCCUAAUACAUGCAGGUUGAGCGCUGAAGGUUGGUACUUGUACCGACUGGAUGAGCAGCGAACGGGUGAGUAACGCGUGGGGAAUCUGCCUUUGAGCGGGGGACAACAUUUGGAAACGAAUGCUAAUACCGCAUAAAAACUUUAAACACAAGUUUUAAGUUUGAAAGAUGCAAUUGCAUCACUCAAAGAUGAUCCCGCGUUGUAUUAGCUAGUUGGUGAGGUAAAGGCUCACCAAGGCGAUGAUACAUAGCCGACCUGAGAGGGUGAUCGGCCACAUUGGGACUGAGACACGGCCCAAACUCCUACGGGAGGCAGCAGUAGGGAAUCUUCGGCAAUGGACGAAAGUCUGACCGAGCAACGCCGCGUGAGUGAAGAAGGUUUUCGGAUCGUAAAACUCUGUUGGUAGAGAAGAACGUUGGUGAGAGUGGAAAGCUCAUCAAGUGACGGUAACUACCCAGAAAGGGACGGCUAACUACGUG
rnacentral:rRNA from 1 species